rnacentral:tRNA from 1 species
GCCGAUGUGGCUCAGUGGAAGAGCAGCUCACUCGUAAUGAGCAGGUCGUGGGUUCAAAUCCCACCAUCGGCU